AUUGAAAAUUUUGUUAAAUUUAGCAAUAAAAAGAGUAAAUUUGGGAGCUUCUAUUUUAAGGGGGUGCGCGUUAGAAUUUGCGGGAUGAGUUGAUAAGAUAAUCGGGAGAUAAAGUUCUUAAGAGAUAUUUUAUCUAACUAUCAUAAUAAAAAUUACAUAUAACAGUUUCUCUUAAGAAUUUGACAGAUUUCGUCUGCUGUAUUUUUACUAGCAUGAUCGUUUUCGUACUCAUAAGUCGUUUUCGAUAAUAGAGCUUUUGAAUCGACGAUGCAUAUACCGCUAUGUAUAAUUUAAAGCAUUCAAACAGAUUAGAAAUCGAAUUUCAUGAUUUUUUUUAUAUCAUAUACCUUACGAUAAAAGGUUUCAAAAUUGACAAUUUUAACGGUAUUAGGCGUUUUCCAGUUUUGUAGUGUAGAGAAUCAGAAUUGGUCGAAUUCUUUUGCAAAAAAAUUUAUUCACUAUUUAGAUCAAAAUUAAUAACUGCAAUCAUGAAUUGAAUAUUCCGAUCAUCUAUUUUUAAGGAGAUCAUUCAAUUUUUACUGUUUAUUAUCAAUUAUUUGAUGAGCUUUGAUAUAAAGUUUAAAAAACUAUGAAAUUCAAUUUAUAGAUAUUUUAAAUGCUUUAAAUUAUAUUUGACAAUAUGAAUUAUUGACUCAGAAGCUUUAUUAUUAAAAUAGUUUAUAAGUAUAAAAUUUUUUGUAUUUAUAAAAAUAUAGUAGCUUAUUUGAAAAUUGCAUGGUAGUACUCAAACGGACAAAUUCCCGCUAAAUACCACAGUGGUGGGACCAAGAGACAAAUUUGUGAAAGGAAAAUUUUGCCCCUCUUUAAUAAACAAAAGUACAAAUGGUGCAUUGUCACAUUUGCAACUAUUGAGUAAAAUAUUUAUAGGAGUUCAAGUGAUAAGAGUUUUGAAUAUUAAAAUAUUUAUAGAAGUUUUGAAUAUAGGCCAAUUCACAUAAAAAUAUACAAGUUUUGAGCUUUUAUAAAACUGGACCGUUUUUUUUAAUUUUACAGAUUUGAUCUAAAUUUUUAGUAAACUGAUCAAAAUAUCCUUAUAUCUUUUUCUCUCUUCUUUUUUUUUGACGUUCUGUUUUUUUCCUCGCCGAA
rnacentral:lncRNA from 1 species